AGUGAACGCUGGCGGUAGGCCUAACACAUGCAAGUCGAACGGCAGCACAGUAAGAGCUUGCUCUUACGGGUGGCGAGUGGCGGACGGGUGAGGAAUACAUCGGAAUCUACUUUUUCGUGGGGGAUAACGUAGGGAAACUUACGCUAAUACCGCAUACGACCUACGGGUGAAAGCAUGGGAUCUUCGGACCUUGCGCGUUUGAAUGAGCCGAUGUCGGAUUAGCUAGUUGGCGGGGUAAAGGCCCACCAAGGCGACGAUCCGUAGCUGGUCUGAGAGGAUGAUCAGCCACACUGGAACUGAGACACGGUCCAGACUCCUACGGGAGGCAGCAGUGGGGAAUAUUGGACAAUGGGCGCAAGCCUGAUCCAGCCAUACCGCGUGGGUGAAGAAGGCCUUCGGGUUGUAAAGCCCUUUUGUUGGGAAAGAAAAGCAGCAGGUUAAUACCCCGCUGUUCUGACGGUACCCAAAGAAUAAGCACCGGCUAACUUCGUG
rnacentral:rRNA from 1 species